GACCUAGAACACACGAGCCCCAGGUGGGUGGCUGGGUCACAGGGCGGGACCCAGACCCCUGCCUCAGCCGCAAGCGUGGUUUCCCAUGUGCACACCACACACACGUGUGCAUACAUGGGGUCCUGUGGAGCCACACUGAGAGAAGAUGGGCAUUUAUUCAUUCAACAAACGUUUAGGAAGUGGGUGCUGUGAAUGGGCCAGGCCCUGUUCUAAGUGUCGAGAACACACUAGUUCUGUUCAUGAACAAAACAGAUGCUUCCUCUCCCUCGCUCUCCCAGCCUCCUUGCUCCGUCACCAAGUCCACCUCGCUCGUCCUGGCUCCUGGCCGUGGCCUCUGCUAUUCCCUUUGCCCAGAAAGCUUCUUCCCUGAGUCUGGGGAGGCUGAACCAUUCUUUCAGGUCUCAACACCACCUCCGCAGAGAGGUCUCCCAGAGCAUCCAACCUAAAGCACCCUCUGCCCCAGUCAUUACCCGUCACACUGCUGUAUGUAUUUCCUUCACAGAAUUCAGCAUUCUGUAACAUUCUAUAUUUUUGUUUCCUCUGCUAGAACGUUAGCUUCAGGAGAGUGAAUUUAGCAUUCUACAACAUUCUCACAUGUUUUCUUAGUGUUUUUGUUUCCUCUGCUAGAACAUUAGCUUCAGGAGAGAGAAGACGCAUCUGUUUUGUUCAUGAACAGACGUGUAUGUUCUCGACACUUAGAAGAGGGCCUGGCCCAUUCACAGCACCCACUUCCUGGACGUUUGUGGAAUGAAUAAAUGAUUGCAGACACACCCAGGUGCCCGGAUGUCCCAGGGCACAGGCACACAGCUGUGGGGGAAGGGGCCUGCCUGCUGAGGCCAGAAGAAGGCCCACCGGUGUGCGGCUCCUGCCCUGCCCGGUCUGGCUGCCCCCAGGCCACCCUGCCUGUCACCUUCUGGAUCAUGACGCUGUAGAUGCCCAUGUGCUGCAUGCCGCGCGUGUAGUACAGCAGGUUCAGCCAGCCCAGCACCAGCGAGGACACGAGCAGGGGCAGGUACCACUCGACGGCCAGGAAGCACAGCCCCUGGGACAGCACGGCGAGCAGCGCCUGGACCAGGCUGUGGGGGCGGGGCGGGGUCAGCCCGCAGCCUCCCCUGGCCAGCGCUCACCCCCACGGCCUCCCCCACCACAGGCUGAGAGGUGAGAAGUCCUCCCCCUGCCUGGGACGGGACCCAAGCAGGUCCUGACCUCCAUCCCGGACAAGGCAUUUAACCCUGUGGGCCUCCGUCCCCUCCCCUGUACAGUGGGUGUAACAGGAGUAACACCAGACUCGAGAGCCCCGGCGAGGAUUCAGCGUAAAGGGCUCAGGCUCCGAGGGCGCAGGGCGAGGGCUCCGUCAGUGUCACUGUCGCAAUCGCGACCUACACAGACCAGACUGGACAGCAGCCCCGACUCCUGACCCCAGUCCCCUGGAGCUGCCUGGCCCAGUCCUCGCUUCUAAAGCCACCUGGUGCUGUCGGCCACGUGGCCUUUCCCAGGCCUGAGGCAGGGCAGGAGGAGCGAGGCGCCCCACGUACAAGAGGAUUUCAAAGUAGCUGUCCAUGAACGAGGUCCAGAUGAACAGACGGCGCCUCCAGAAGUACCAGAGCUGCGGGGAGAGGGGACGCGUGUGAGGGCUGCUCCCCAGGCCACGACGCAGCCCCUUUGCCCUCAGGGCCCAGCCAGCGCUCUGUUCCCCGGCUGCCUGCCUGCUGGCCCGGCCUGUGGGAGCCUGGCCAGGACCACCUCCGGGGCUCAGGCAGCGGCUUUGACUUGGGGAUGAUCGUGAGUUCUGCUGAUAGCUGAGAAAGCUUUGGACCCUGUUUCCAGAAAGUGCACAGACACCCAGACGAGGCCAGGGGCCUCUGCUCCCUGUGGACCCAGAUGAAGGAUUCACACACCCCAAAUGGGGAUGGGGAGGGGGGCUCCUCUCCCUCCCCCUUCCUCGGCCUUCCAGGGGCCACCCUGUACUCCAGCCAACCUGGCCCUGGUGCCUAAUUCCUGCCCACUCUCAAGAGUCUCAGUGCCAUGGCCCUGCCUGCCUCCUGCCAGCUGGCAGCACCUUGACCUGAAGAGGCCCUGGGGGGCGGGCUGGGCUGAGUUCAUCCCACCCCCACCCUUCUGUGCUCCCCAAGUGAGGGUCAGGGGCUUCCAGCUCCACCCCCAGGGGAGCAGAGCCAGCAUUGCCAAGGAAGCAUAGGGGACACUCGCUGCCCCAGGGGCACCCAGCCCAGAAGGCAAGGCCAGGACCCACUGCCCUCAGCUGCCCUCAGGCUGUCUUCACAGUACCAGCCCGGGGAUUCAGUCUCCCAUCGGUGAAGGGACUGUGGGGAGGAACUCUGAGGCUCCCUGUGGCAGAAUUUCAGGUUUGGGGUGGGGGAGCGGGAGGAGCGCUCACCUGGCCCACGAGGAUGUAGGCGCCCCCGAGCAGGACCAGGAUGUGGCCCAGCAGCAGCAUGGAGUUCCCAGCAGUCACCUCCAGGGGGAGGGAGUCCUGGUUGAAGAGACACUCGGGUAGGGCCUGUGGUCCACCCCCAGCAGCUCCCCGCUGAGAGCUCAGCUCAGGGCCCAUUUCUGAGCAUGAGCUGUGGCAAGGCCCCGCAGCAGCAGAGCAAACACGGCUCCGGAUCCAGACUGUCUGCGUUCAGAUCUGAUCGCCACUGCUCACGGCCUGUGUGACCCUGAGUGAGUUACUAACCUCCGUGCCUCCCGCCCCUCAACUGUAAACUGGGGAUAACGGUUCAUCUCAGAGGGUGGUUGGGAGCAUUAGCUGCGUAAUUAACACAUGUCAGUCACUCAGAACACGUUCUCACAGGUGGUGCGCACUCAGUGCUGUUGUUGUCGUUGUUACUGCCGUGGCGCCGGCUUCCCUACCGUGACCAGCAGUAAGAGCAUGCACAGACCACCCUAGCGGCCAGGCCUCCGCGUCAUCAUCUGCAGGCAGGGUGGUGAUCCCUGCCCCACCCGCCCAAAGUGCCCCUCCCCGGCCUUGCCUUCCCCAGGGCGGGCUGGUGGUAGGUGAUGGCAGUGAAGACGGACACGUAGGUCAGGUAGCACAGGAAGUUGAAGAGGAACCUGGGGACGAGCAGAUUCCACUUGGCCUGCAGCAGUUUGUUCAGCGGCUCCAAAACCACCAUUCGGUGCCGGUGCUAGGGCAGGAAGGGGAGCCAGAGGCACGUUCAGUCUGUGUCGGGGCACAGGGCUGCAGGGCGAGGAUGGGGAGCCCCGACUGACCCCCCCCAAUAGCCUCCACCCCACCCUUAUGGCUACAGAGUGACCGAGAGCCUCUCCCUCCAGUCUGGAGCCGAGUGCUGGUCAACAGAGGCCCCCCGUGGUCGCCACCAGGACCCUCAUCCCCGUUUCGGGUGGGGACUGGUGUGCGGAGUGAGUGUGUGGCCAGAGGCCGGGUCAGGACCGGCAGCCACACCCACCCCGCACAGUUACAGGGCUGGGGUGGUCCAGACCCUGCCGAGAGUUCUGCCAGCCUCCUGCACAUGCUCCCACCCCAGCGGGCUCACCGGGCUCCUGCAGUGAAAGACGAUGAUCUCCAGCACUGAGUUCUCCUCCGAGCUGUCCACAGAGGCCAGGUCAUACAGCGACACCCGGACAGGCCCGUAGCACCACUCCGUGAACUUGCGGGAAAGGAACUGGCUCGGCCCCAAGAACUCCCGCUGCAGGAUGUGUCUGAAAAUCUGCAGGGCGAGCACGUGAGCCUGGCCUGCAUGGCCACCUCCCAGCCCUAACCUGGAGGCUGGGAAACACGUGGUAUCCUGCAGACACGUGCACACGCCCCACACCCACGGGUCCUGGUGUGUAUGAAUCUUACACAUCCACACACAUGCAGCCACCUGUAGACACUCCCACCCACCCACCUAUGCCCGGGCCUGCCGGCCAGCCUGCCUCUUCCUCCUCCACUCCUGCCCCGAGGCGUCUUUCCUGGAUGCUCACGUGGCAGAGGGACCCUCGGUCCAAUGUCCUUAAGGCCCCUUGAGAUCAGGUUACCAGCUACACGUGUGUGUGCACGUCUGUGGCCAGAGUCUAGAGCUUUCAACAGACUAGAAAGCAUCCCUAACCGGAAGAUGUGAAGCAGCAAUUAGAUUUUACAAAUGAGGAAUGGUGGGGAGGGAAGGGCCAGACAGGGGAGCAACUUCCACAGGUCACAUAGCCGUGCUUCCAGACGCCAACGGACCUUGGAGGGCAGAGUAAAAUAGUCACACUCCCACGUAUGUUUAUUUUUAUCUCUUGUCUUAACCUUCAACGACGCCUGUGCUCUAAGCAUUGGGCCUUGUGUCACCUGGGCUGGCUAUACACCCAUGAAGCUCCCCUGGUAAUAAGAAUCAGACAACUGGAAAGCCGUUUGGGAAGAAAAGUAGAGCUGGAUCAUGAUACCAAAAUAACUUCCAGAUAAAUCAAAGUUUUAGGCAUCGGAAAGGAAACUGCAAAACAAAAAUCUGCAGGAAUAUAUGGACGUGGAAUAUAUACACACACACACAAGGUUUUAAAACCUUGUAGAAGGAAUUAAGCAGCAGCAAAACCCAGGAACCCUAAAGGAAUAGAUAACUAUACUUGGAUACAUAAAAAUGUAAGAAUUCUGUGUAGCAAAAAAAUGCCAAAAUUUUAAUUUUACCGUUGAACUGGGAGGAAGUUUGCAACUUUAUUUUGUUUGUUUAUAGUAAAGUGCUGAUAUGUUCAUUAUCAAGAACACUUAGCAAUAUUAAGAAAAUCUAACAGCAAAGAAUAUGAGAAGACUGUUUCAGAAUCAAGAAACCCAAACGACUUUAAAAAAACCCUGCUUUCUGCUUUAUAAUGUAAUAUGUUCAGCAGCUCCAUUAUAAUUUAUCAAUAAAUGUACACAUAUGAGA